AAACUCUGAUUGUCAGACCUUAAAUCCAGCAAACUCUGGCUUGCCUCAACCAAGUAACAUUAUAUCCGAUGCUGAUGUAGAGUGCAGAAAUCAGAGUGCUAACAUGGCUUCCGAUCAGACAGUAAAGGAAUGGCAAAGCGUUUCGGUUUCUGUUCCUGUUAAGGCGACUAUCAAUGAUAUUAUUGUGUUAAGUGACAGUGAUGAAGAAGAUGUGAAUAUUGAAGUCACUUCAGC
rnacentral:lncRNA from 1 species